rnacentral:rRNA from 1 species
GGACCUGACUGCUAUCGGAUUGAUACUAAGCCAUGCGAGUCAUUGUAGCAAUACAAGGCAGACGGCUCAGUAACGCGUAGUCAACCUACCCUAUGGACGGGGAUAACCUCGGGAAACUGAGAAUAAUACCAGAUAGAACACUAUUCCUGGAAUGGUUAAUGUUUCAAAUAAUUUAUUGCCGUAGGAUGGGACUGCGGCCUAUCAGUUUGUUGGUGAGGUAAUGGCCCACCAAGACUAUUACAGGUACGGGCUCUGAGAGGAGUAGCCCGGAGAUGGGUACUGAGACACGGACCCAGGCCCUAUGGGGCGCAGCAGGCGAGAAAACUUUGCAAUGUGCGAAAGCACGACAAGGUUAAUCCGAGUGGUUUCUGCUAAAGGAACCUUUUGUCAGUCCUAGAAACACUGUUGAAUAAGGGGUGGGCAAGUUCUGGUGUCAGCCGCCGCGGUAAAACCAGCACCUCAAGUGGUCAGGAUGAUUAUUGGGCCUAAAGCAUCCGUAGCCUGCUUUGUCAGUUUUCGGUUAAAUCCAUACGCUUAACGUAUGGGCUGCCGGAAAUACUGCAAAGCUAGGGAGUGGGAGAGGUAGACGGUACUCGGUAGGAAGGGGUAAAAUCCUUUGAUCUAUUGAUGACCACCUGUGGCGAAGGCGGUCUACCAGAACACGUCCGACGGUGAGGGAUGAAAGCUGGGGGAGCAAACCGGAUUAGAUACCCGGGUAGUCCCAGCUGUAAACUAUG